CCUACGGGAGGCAGCAGUGAGGAAUAUUGGGCAAUGCCCGAAAGGGUGACCCAGCAACGCCGCGUGGAGGAUGAAUGCCGUAAGGUUGUAAACUCCUGUUAGAGGGGAAGAAAAAUCUCGAUCAAAUCGAGAACUGACUGUACCCUCAGAGAAAGCCCCGGCUAACUACGUGCCAGCAGCCGCGGUAAUACGUAGGGGGCAAGCGUUGUCCGGAUUCACUGGGUGUAAAGGGCGCGCAGGCGGGUUAGCAAGUCAGAGGUGAAAUCCUACAGCUUAACUGUAGAACUGCCUUUGAGACUGCUAAUCUUGAGUACGGAAGAGAGAGAUGGAAUUCCAGGUGUAGUGGUGAAAUACGUAGAUAUCUGGAAGAACACCAGUGGCGAAGGCGGUCUCUUGGUCCUAUACUGACGCUAAGGCGCGAAAGCGUGGGGAGCAAACAGGAUUAGAUACCCUGGUAGUCC
rnacentral:rRNA from 1 species